UUCCCUACGGGGGGCAGCAGUGGGGGAUAUUGCACAAUGGGGGGAACCCUGAUGCAGCGACGCCGCGUGGGUGAAGGAGUGCUUCGGCAUGUAAAGCCCUAUCGGCAGGGAAGAAGCAAGACGGUACCUGACUAAGAAGCCCCGGCUAACUACGUGCCAGCAGCCGCGGUAAUACGUAGGGGGCGAGCGUUGUCCGGAAUUACUGGGUGUAAAGGGAGCGUAGGCGGGGAUGCAAGUUGGGGGUCAAAACUACCGGCUCAACUGGUAGUUGCACUCAAAACUGCAGCUCUUGAGUGAAGUAGAGG
rnacentral:rRNA from 1 species